rnacentral:rRNA from 1 species
AGAACGAACGCUGGCGGCAUGCCUAAUACAUGCAAGUCGAACGAACACUUCGGUGUUGGUGGCGCACGGGUGCGUAACGCGUGGGAAUCUGCCCUUGGGUUCGGAAUAACGGUUGGAAACGACUGCUAAGUACCGGACGAUAUCGAAAGAUCAAAGAUUUAUCGCCCAGGGAUGAGCCCGCGUAGGAUUAGCUAGUUGGUGAGGUAAAGGCUCACCGAAGGCGACGAUCCUUAGCUGGUCUGAGAGGAUGAUCAGCCACACUGGGACUGAGACACGGACCCAGACUCCUACGGGAGGCAGCAGUAGGGAAUAGUUGGACAAGUGGGCGCAAGCCUGAUCCGAGCUAAGCGACCG